AGCCCGGUCGUCUAGUGGCCAAUCUCCCAGGUAGAAAAGAAAGGUAGGGCUAGGGAUUCCAGGCUCUGGACCUGGAGACAGCAGUUCGAAUCUGCUCCGGGCUACCA
rnacentral:tRNA from 1 species